ACGGAGGGUGCAAACGUUGUUCGGAAUCAUUGGGCGUAAAGGGCACGUAGGCGGCACAUUAGGUCGGGUGUGAAAUCCCAGGGCUCAACCCUGGAAUUGCGCUCGAAACCGGUGCGCUUGAGUUCCGGAGGGAGAAGUGGAAUUCUUGGUGUAGGGGUGAAAUCCGUAGAUAUCAGGAGGAACACCAGUGGCGAAGGCGACUUCUUGGCCGAGAACUGACGCUGAUGUGCGAAAGCGUGGGUAGCAAACAGG
rnacentral:rRNA from 1 species